UGGGGAAUCUUGCGCAAUGGGCGAAAGCCUGACGCAGCAACGCCGCGUGCGGGAUGAAGGCUCUCGGGUCGUAAACCGCUUUCAGCAGGGAUGAAACUGACAGUACCUGCAGAAGAAGCCCCGGCUAAAUACGUGCCAGCAGCCGCGGUAAUACGUAUGGGGCAAGCGUUAUCCGGAUUCAUUGGGCGUAAAGAGCGCGUAGGCGGCUUGUUAAGUCAGAUGUGAAAUCUGGGGGCUCAACCCGCAGCUUGCAUCUGAAACUGGCAGGCUUGAGUCUGGUAGAGGAAAGUGGAAUUCCCAGUGUAGCGGUGAAAUGCGCAGAUAUUGGGAGGAACACCAGUGGCGAAGGCGGCUUUCUGGGCCACGACUGACGCUGAGGCGCGAAAGCUAGGGGAGCAAACAGGAUUAGAUACCCUGGUAGUCCUAGCUGUAAACGAUGGGCACUAGGUGUGGGGGGUCAGUCAACUCCCUCCGU
rnacentral:rRNA from 1 species